rnacentral:rRNA from 2 species
UGGGGAAUAUUGGACAAUGGGGGCAACCCUGAUCCAGCCAUGCCGCGUGUGUGAAGAAGGCCUUUUGGUUGUAAAGCACUUUAAGCAGUGAAGAAGACUCCAUGGUUAAUACCCAUGGACGAUGACAUUAGCUGCAGAAUAAGCACCGGCUAACUCUGUGCCAGCAGCCGCGGUAAUACAGAGGGUGCAAGCGUUAAUCGGAAUUACUGGGCGUAAAGCGAGCGUAGGUGGCUUGAUAAGUCAGAUGUGAAAGCCCCGGGCUUAACCUGGGAACGGCAUCUGAUACUGUUAGGCUAGAGUAGGUGAGAGGAAGGUAGAAUUCCAGGUGUAGCGGUGAAAUGCGUAGAGAUCUGGAGGAAUACCGAUGGCGAAGGCAGCCUUCUGGCAUCAUACUGACACUGAGGUUCGAAAGCGUGGGUAGCAAACAGG